CUCCAAAAAAUCUAAAAACCAGAACACGGUUUUGUUAUCUACCAAUACAUAUGAAUAAAGGUACAUGAAUUUGUGCAAUGUUAAAAACUCUUAAGUGGCUAAUCAGGAAGACAAACCCAUGCAUGAACUAUAAUUGACACGUAGACUCAACAUAUAAGUUUUCAGAAACAACAAUUUACCAAUAGUAGAAUAAAAUCUGCAGCCAAAAUAAAAUACACCCAUUUUUCUUUCCCUAACAUUUCAAAAACAAAGAAUGAUGUAUGCACUUAAUAAAGUUUAUCACUCAUCUGACUAGCCAUCUGAAUGUUGAACCAAAAAUUAAAAUGACAUGUGAAAAAAUAUAUUAAUAGCUUGUUUGGUUGCUCCUCAUCAUAUGUUUGCAUUCUGAGAUUAAUGCUAAAAAUGGUGGCACAGUGAAAAAUCUGGGAGAAAGCAAUUCUAAAAGUUGCCACAGACAUAUGCCAAUUCAUACCAGCUAAAUGUGAAUAAUCCAGAUAGUGAGUUGAAGGAUAAAAGGCAAGGGGAAAACUAAUCCUUUCCUCGGUUGAAAAGGAUGAGUAAAAAACAAAUUUGGGAACUAUUAUUGUAUUCAGCACUAUCUAAGAGCUUGAUUGUGUAAAUUGCUCCCUCCGGCCCACUUCAAGUCCUUUUUAAGGUUUUUACACAAGAAUUAAGGAAAUGAUUAGAUAACCUCAUUUUUAUAAAAAAAAAAUACUAAUAAUUGACUAAAAUACCCUUAUAUUUAAUUAAAAAUAGAGAAAUGCGAUAAAGAAGAGAUAAAUGCAUUGGAGAUAAUAAUAGACAAGGAUAAAGUUAGAAAAAAAAUAAUUAAUGCUUCCUUAAUUUUCUAAAAUGGCA
rnacentral:misc_RNA from 1 species